UACGGAGGGAGCUAGCGUUGUUCGGAAUUACUGGGCGUAAAGCGUGUGUAGGCUGCUACAUAAGUCGGAUGUGAAAGCCCCGGGCUCAACCCGGGAAGUGCACUCGAUACUGCGUAGCUUGAGUCUCGGAGAGGUUGGUGGAAUUCUCGGUGUAGAGGUGAAAUUCGUAGAUAUCGAGAGGAACACCGGUGGCGAAGGCGGCCAACUGGACGAAGACUGACGCUGAGACACGAAAGCGUGGGGAGCAAACAGG
rnacentral:rRNA from 1 species